rnacentral:lncRNA from 13 species
ACAUAAUGUGGUGACUGACACUGAGGUCUUCUCUGACAGUACAGCUUGAUCUGCAAUCCUUUCACCUCAAAGAGAAUGGCCGGCAGGGAGCCCGUCUAUGAAGUCUUGUUGGACAACUUCACCUACACAGUCUUCAGUGAUGCUCUAAAAACAGAAGCUGACAAGAGGCUAUGGUGAUCCAGAGUCACAACUAUCUCUUCUCUCAUCCCUUCGACCAAACUUUCCUGAGCAACUCUGAUGCCAGGCGUUUCUAGCACUGUGAUAGAACCUGGGUGGAGGACAGAGGACCCUGCUUCAAAGGUAACCACCUGCCUCCUUCUGCUAUCACAGAGCUGACCUCUGUGCAGCAGAGAGCAGAGCUUGGAGGCCACUGCUGAGAAUCUGCACUCUAAAGACAUCUACCUAAAGCACGAGCUUUAUUUCUGGGCACUCAGCCAGACCUCCUGACCACAUCCUGGACUGAGGAUUUUGGAUGGUGGAACGGGGGUGGAAGUGAACAUUAAAUGAGCAACAUGCUAAUUCCAUGCAAAUGAAUAUCUAUUUUGAAUCAACAGCUUGGGCACUUUUUCUAGGAGGGCUGAGGCAGCAGGAAUCUAAAG